CGAGUACUGUGAUGGCAGAGCGUGCAAUGCCACUUGCAAAAAAGAGGCCGAACAUUCGCACGACCGGGGCGUCUACGGGAAGUGCGAUUCGAAGGGCGCCUGCCGCUGCUACCAUAAGGAGAUUUGCGCUGCGGACACAUGCAAAACCAUGUGUGAAGUGAGGCACGGAUCCGAGGAAAACCUGAGACACGAAUGUGCCAAUGACGUCUGCACUUGCACUUGGACCAAAGGAUGCAACCCUGCUGCAUGUGAAGCCGCGUGCCAGAAAGUCUACGCCGGAAAGCCAAACAUAGAAUCCCGGUGCGAGAGCACCCUGUGCCACUGCAGUUGGCAUGAAGG